rnacentral:rRNA from 1 species
GAUGAACGCUGGCGGCGUGCCUAAUACAUGCAAGUCGAGCGAACAGACGAGGGGCUUGCUCCUUUGACGUUAGCGGCGGACGGGUGAGUAACACGUAGGUAACCUACCUAUAAGACUGGGAUAACUUCGGGAAACCGGAGCUAAUACCGGAUAAUAUUUCGAACCGCAUGGUUCGAUAGUGAAAGAUGGCUUUGCUAUCACUUAUAGAUGGACCUGCGCCGUAUUAGCUAGUUGGUAAGGUAACGGCUUACCAAGGCAACGAUACGUAGCCGACCUGAGAGGGUGAUCGGCCACACUGGAGCUGAGACACGGUCCAGACUCCUACGGGAGGCAGCAGUAGGGAAUCUUCCGCAAUGGGCGAAAGCCUGACGGAGCAAAGCCGCGUGAGUGAUGAAGGUCUUCGGAUCGUAAAACUCUGUUAUUAGGGAAGAACAAACGUGUAAGUAACUGUGCACGUCUUGACGGUACCUAAUCAGAAAGCCACGGCUAACUACGUG